GCAAGCUAUCCCUCGCUGCUAAGCUAUCGCCGCUGCCAAUCUAUCUAUUGCUGCUAAUCUAUCACUGCUGUCAAUCUAUCUAUCACUGCUAAUCUAUCUAUCGCUGCUAAUCUAUCGCCGCUGCCAAUCUAUCCCUCACUGCUAAGCUAUCCCUCGCUGCUAAGCUAUCACUGCCAAUCUAUCGCUGCUAAUCUAUCGCUGCCAACCUAUCUACCGUGGCGAAUCUAUCUAUCGCUGCCAAUUUAUCUACCACUGCCAAUCUAUCUAUCGCUGCCAAUCUAUCGCUGCUAAUCUAUCACUGCCAAUCUAUCGCUGCUAAUCUAUCACUGCUAAUCUAUCGCUGCCAAUCUAUUGCUGCUAAUCUAUCGCUGCUAAUCUAUCGCUGCUGCCAAUCUAUCUAUCGCUGCUAAUCUAUCGCCGCUGCCAAUCUAUCCCUCGCUGCUAAGCUAUCCCUCACUGCUAAGCUAUCACUGCCAAUCUAUCGCUGCUAAUCUAUCGCUGCCAACCUAUCUACCGCGGCGAAUCUAUCUAUCGCUGCCAAUUUAUCUACCACUGCCAAUCUAUCUAUCGCUGCCAAUCUAUUGCUGCUAAUCUAUCGCUGCUAAUCUAUCGCUGCUGCCAAUCUAUCUAUCGCUGCUAAUCUAUCGCCGCUGCCAAUCUAUCCCUCGCUGCUAAGCUAUCCCUCACUGCUAAGCUAUCACUGCCAAUCUAUCGCUGCUAAUCUAUCGCUGCCAACCUAUCUACCGCGGCGAAUCUAUCUAUCGCUGCCAAUUUAUCUACCACUGCCAAUCUAUCUAUCGCUGCCAAUCUAUCGCUGCUAAUCUAUCACUGCUAAUCUAUCGCUGCUAAUCUAUCGCUGCUAAUCUAUCGCUGCCAACCUAUCUACCGCGGCGAAUCUAUCUAUCACUAUCAUUACUAGUUCAAAAUAGAACUAGAGCAUAAACACACUAAACUUCUUUUGAUAGGUAAUGAUUUUUGGUAACGCUCAUAGCAUUAUAUCAUCUAUAUAGGGUAAAUCAUGGUCCCAUUUGGUCCCAUUUUAACAAAAUGGGACCAAAUGGGACCAGAAUCAGUAAUUUAUAAGAAGAACAUGACCUGGGACUAGAUUUAUAAUAUAAACAGUGUAAAGUGACUAAUUUAAUAAACACUAUAUGGGACCAGGACUAAGAAAUUUGAUAAUGGGACUGGAGAAAUAUUUAGUCCCAGUCCCAUGCAUGGUCACACAGCCAGUCUAACUUGAAUGACAGAUGGAAACACUGAGAGCAUCAGUUAAUUGACUCUGCAAUUAUAGAAAGUUCUACAC
rnacentral:sRNA from 1 species